AAGAAAACAAAUUAGAUCAACGUCAGUAUAUAUUAAGGGAAAUUUGCAGAAAUAACUAGCAAAAAAACUAUAAUUUACUAACUAACCAUCCUAACUAUGUAACUAUAAUAUUUUCUGUAUAAUAUGUAAUAUUACUAAAUUUGCCAUUGUUGCCUCAAUACUUUCAGCAGCCACCACCACCGCCGGCCACCAUCUAUUCCGGCCACCACCAACACUGAUCACCAUCAACUCCGGCCAGCACCAACUUCAGCCACCACCACCACCGACCACCACCACCGCCACCAUCAUCA
rnacentral:sRNA from 1 species